GCCCACAUAGUGUAGCCCGGUCCAGCAUUCGGGACUGUCAUUUCCGAUCGAGGAGACCGACGCGGGUUCAAAUCCCGCUGUGGGCGCCA
rnacentral:tRNA from 1 species